rnacentral:lncRNA from 1 species
GAACCAAAACCCCAGGGGCGAGCUCCAUCCUUUCCAAAACCCUAGUUUCUACAAAUUCACUUAAAAUCAAGGAAUCGAAACCCAAUUGAAGGUGAUUCAAGGCUAAAUAAGUGAUCUUCAUCCUUAGUAUAUCAAAAGGUGAUUUCGGUGGAUCAUCGAGUGGGCAAGGCAGAUCGGAUAACCGCUUAAAAGAAAAUCUUUGAAAGGUACGCGGCUAUGCGCUUCGUAAAGGGAUGCACUUGCGGAUGAUGAUCAAGCAUUGUUAAAGAACCGAACACACAUUAUAAAGGAGUUUCCGCAAAUGAAAACCAUUACUUUUGUCACACAACACACUGUAGUGUUGUUAACUCUUGUAAUUAUGUAUUUGCUUGUUUUUAAAAGUUAAGGAUGUCGGGUUAGGGAAAACAACAUGUUUUGGGAAUGCUUAUAAAUGUUUUGUAGG